rnacentral:rRNA from 1 species
AGUGAACGCUGGCGGUAGGCCUAACACAUGCAAGUCGAACGGCAGCACAGUAAGAGCUUGCUCUUACGGGUGGCGAGUGGCGGACGAGUGAGGAAUACAUCGGAAUCUACUUUUUCGUGGGGGAUAACGUAGGGAAACUUACGCUAAUACCGCAUACGACCUGCGGGUGAAAGCAGGGGAUCUUCGGACCUUGCGCGAUUGAAUGAGCCGAUGUCGGAUUAGCUAGUUGGCGGGGUAAAGGCCCACCAAGGCGACGAUCCGUAGCUGGUCUGAGAGGAUGAUCAGCCACACUGGAACUGAGACACGGUCCAGACUCCUACGGGAGGCAGCAGUGGGGAAUAUUGGGCAAUGGGCGCAAGCCUGAUCCAGCCAUACCGCGUGGGUGAAGAAGGCCUUCGGGUUGUAAAGCCCUUUUGUUGGGAAAGAAAAGCAGCAGGUUAAUACCCCGCUGUUCUGACGGUACCCAAAGAAUAAGCACCGGCUAACUUCGUG